AAGUCGUAACAAGGUUUCCGUAGGUGAACCUGCGGAAGGAUCAUUAGCGAAUGAACUUGGUCAAGCUGUUGCUGGUCCUUAGGGACAUGUGCACGCUAGACUCUUGUUUCUAACCACCUGUGCACCUUUUGUAGACUUAGAGUUUUUAAAGGGGAUUUGCGCUAGCUUUUCCUGUAGGCUCUGGUCUAUGUUUUUAUAUACCCUUCUAAAAUGUAAAGAAUGUGUAUUGGGCUUUUUGCAAGCCUAUAAAAAUAUAUACAACUUUCAACAACGGAUCUCUUGGCUCUC
rnacentral:misc_RNA from 1 species